UCUAGACCAACAACAUCAGGUUCAUCGGCAUAGAGAAAUGAUCUUCUAAAAUCCCAGUUGCCAUCAGCUUCAGCACUAACACCGGUAUCCAUGAUACCAUAAGUUGUUCUUAUGCGAUCAAUUUCAUGCACCCUUCUCUUGAUCUUCUCAAUUUCUGAAACAAACUUAAAUGCAGCUAUUGCAAACGGAAUGGCGUGUAAAGUGUUCUUAAAAAACCCUAGUGAUUUUCCUCCCUUGGAUGCAACUUUGGGAAGAAACUCAUCCAGAAUAUCUUCCACAUCACGAGCUAUUUCUUCAAUAUCCUUGAUCAUGUUCUUGAUUCUUUCGUCUCUGGCUUGCUUGGACUCAGCAUCUUUGAGGUAAGAUUGCAUGUGUCUCAUCUCUCUUUCGAUCCAUUUUGUGUUCUCUGGCAAUUUACUAUACCUAGAAACUUGUGCUGAAAUAAGUUCACCGGCAAUAUCUGCAGCCUUCUUGAUUACUACUGUCAGCAGAAUUUCUGCCAUGUUUUGUUUUGUCACAGUAAAAUUGAAUCUGAAAGUUGAAUUGUGUAAUGUUAUCUCUAUUGCAAUGCUAAUAGUUCUGAAUUCUUCAUUGUAUUGCUGGUCAACCUACUGAUGUAUCUGUCUAUUGUUCUAAAGUCAACCAUCUCCUGCCCCCUUCAUAAAUAUAUAAGAAGUAGGCAUCCAUCCAACACUAGGAAAACAAAAGGAAAUAAUAUUAAAGUAUUUCUCUAGUUCAACAUGGUACAGAUGGAAUUUGAGAAUUGUAAAUGCAAUAAAAUAGUGAAAGGCACCGACUCUGGUAUCUGGCUUGUGGAUUUCAACUUUUAAAUCUUUAAUCCUAUUGUUGGUUAUAGAGUUAGUGGUGUGCAGGAUUUCAGGUCCUUGAGUUCUUAGUAAUAAAAAUAAUAAAACAGCUAGGCUUUAAAUAAGCACCUAUAUUUAAGUUAUAAGUGGCUUUUGGAAAUCUUUUUAACUUUUCUUGGUCUAAUAAUCCAUAUGACUAUGCUUACUGUUAACUGCCAAGUGCCAACACAAAAACUGAUCAUACAAAAACUUAUGGUAAUAUGAGUACUGGUGAAAGUGCUGAAACUGAAAGUGAAGACCAUUUACUAUCACUGAAGUUUACAGUUUUGAUCUAACAGGACAUUGCAAGAAAUGUUAAAGGUAUAGCCUUUGAAGAUGUGUAGUUCAGAUACAUUGGAACAUUUGUCAAGAUUUAUUUUUCUCUGUGAUCAAUCUAGAGAUCCUCUUCUAAAUCACCAGGUAUGCAUAUGUGAAAGCUAUAUUAACUCUUUUUCCAUCAAUAAUAGUUUGACCAAAAGAAAAUGGACACCCAAUCCUUUGUCUUUUUUAUUCUAGUGUAAGGUAGGUGGCAUAUCAUCCGAUUUCUUUUAUGCAGGGGAUUAUUGACUUAAGAAUGAAUUGAUUUAGACACUUCAGAAGGUUGACCUUCCAUAUGAUAAAGGAUAUACUGACAUCAGUUAUCCAACAGGGUGCAUUACACAAUUCAGGCCCGGGUGACUGCUUAUCAAAAACGUAGGUCUCCACAAAGUUGUAAGACCAUGUAUGGGAGCUGAUGCUUGCCCAGUGCCGGAAGGGUCAAGGAAGUUGGUGACUCAAUGACAGGGGAGUUGACGACCAAAGGCCGGGUAAACGGUGGCCAUAAAUGUAACGGUCGUCGGGUAAGUUUCGAUCCUCACGAAAGGUGUAAUUAUCUGGGCAUUGUCUUGGAGAGAGGCUCGGUGAAAUAGACAUGUUUGUGAAGAAGCGGACUUCUGGACAAAAAGACCGGAUGAAGCUUCACUAUUCCGCAGUAAUUUAGAUUGGAAAUAUGGUGAAAUGUUAUUAACAUCAGUGACCAAUAAGGCUGCAGAAAUAGCUGGUGAACCUAUUUUCUUGUUUUUAUCAGUUGUCAGAGAACAUCAAUUGAAUCAAUCAAAAAAGAGAUGAGAACAUGCAAUCAUACCUCAAAGAUGCUGAGACCAAACAAGAGAGUGACCAAAGGGUCAAAAUCAUGAAGAGAAAGUGUUUUUUGUUCUUUAACAUUUAGAGGGUGUUUGGCUAAACUUAUAAGCUGGUCUAACGAGCUUAUAAGCACUUUUCGGCUUAUCUACGCGUUUGAUAAAGUUAAAAGUGCUUAUAAGUCAAGUGCUUAUAAGUCAAAAAUAAGCCAAAAGCCAUAAGAUGGUCACCCCCAGCUUAUAAAUUUUUAGCUUAUAAGCACUUUAAGUUUGACCAAGAUUUUUACUAUUUUAUCCUUAAAAUUUUCCUUUUUAGAACAAAACUCCUACAUCGAUAAUCACUGCCUCAAGUAUUUUUUCAACCUAAACCCUCCUCCUCUUCAAGUCUGCAAUUCUCAUUGACUAUUUAAGAUAAGCAAAUCCUCUAUUCC
rnacentral:lncRNA from 1 species